rnacentral:rRNA from 1 species
UACGUAGGUCCCGAGCGUUGUCCGGAUUUAUUGGGCGUAAAGCGAGCGCAGGUGGUUUAUUAAGUCUGGUGUAAAAGGCAGUGGCUCAACCAUUGUAUGCAUUGGAAACUGGUAGACUUGAGUGCAGGAGAGGAGAGUGGAAUUCCAUGUGUAGCGGUGAAAUGCGUAGAUAUAUGGAGGAACACCGGUGGCGAAAGCGGCUCUCUGGCCUGUAACUGAUACUGAGGCUCGAAAGCGUGGGGAACAAACAGG